AAUCAACGCUGGCGGCGUGCCUCAGACAUGCAAGUCGAACGAUUAAACUUUCCUUCGGGAAAGAUAUAAAGUGGCGCACGGGUGAGUAACACGUAAGUAAUCUACCUUCGGAUGGGGAAUAACAGUCGGAAACGACUGCUAAUACCGCAUAAUGCAGCGGCACCUAAUGGUGACAGUUUGUUAAAGUAUUUAUACGUCUGGAGAGGAGCUUGCGGCAGA
rnacentral:rRNA from 1 species